rnacentral:lncRNA from 1 species
CAUUCACAAUUAAGCACGCACGAAGUGAGAGGGAAAUUGCUUUUAAAUGACAAAUGUCUUCAAAUAUUAGAAAAAUGCAUUUAACUGAUGGAAAAAAAUUCCUACUCAAUUUCUGUGCUGCUGAAUAUCUGAUAUUUCAUAUCUGGAAAAUAGGCUUUAUGGGAAACAAAAAGGUACAUCUAUUUUGGUGACAGAGGAGAGAGGAAGAAUUAGAGAUAUGAAGAAAGGGAGCCAAUUUGUAACUUUUACUCUUUCCUUUAUAAUGAUAAAAAAUAAAGAGAGAGAAAGGAAUUUCCAGAAUAUCUUCUUGGAAUAAUAAAACAAAAUGUCAAAUUUUCCCAAGUUCUUCAUGCUGCUCUCCGAAAAACAAUUUCUUUACUGCAAUACCCUAUCUGGAAAUAGUGUCCUCGAAAACAUGCAAUUCUCCAAAAACACUUCUUAAGGUUUUUCAAAAUUCUUAUUGCAUCUUUAAGCUUGCUCUGUGUUGCGCCUGAAUUGUUAAUUGACUAACUAGACGGAGGGCCCAAACUAUGUCAGCUGUUCUCAAUCCUGGCUGCAUAUUGGAAUCACCUGCAGAGGCUUUAGAACCUGUUGGAUCCCGCCUCCAGAGAUUCUGACUUGACUUGAUUAGCUGAAGGCCCAGGCACUGGGAGUUUUAUAAAGCUCCCCAGGUGACUGUAUUAACUGCCCAUCUCCGUCCUCCCUCUGCACAGCUGGGCCUGAGCUGCACCCUUAAACCAUCUGUGCUUGGUGGCCUGGAAUCUAGAAAGCGCGGUGCCUACCUGCAAUGGAGGUUUGGUGUUAAGGACGAGAUUUAUAUGACAAAGAUAUUUCUGGCAAGACGUGGAGAGAAAGAGUCCCUUCAAUGAAAAAAUGCAAGACUGUUCUGACUGCUUUUUCAGAACAGAAAUAUAUCCACCAACUUCUGUAUGAAGUCACCAAGAAUACCGCAACCAGCAAAGAACUCCUCUCUAAAAACGUGGCUCAUCCCCUCGAAAGAGAGAAGAUAAAGUGGUGACUAAAUACUGCGUCUUCAACUGAUAGAUCCAGGUGAACACACUGGGAUUCAUCACGGAAAGAACUCAACCCAUGGAGAAUGAAGAGGAGCAAGACAGGAAAAUCACCCAUCUGGGAAUGGCAUGGAGCCAGGGGAGGCUCCCCAACCAUGGGGAAAUGGUGCUCACCAUUGGCCAGCCCCACCAAAAGCCAAACUAUAAGGAGGCAUCCAGCCAAACAGCCUCUUCAGUCUUGGAACAGCUUGGAAAAUGAAUCUGGAAGGACAAAUAGGUGAUCUACAGCAUAAUCUCCAUUAUAGUGUACUUUCUCUUCAUCCGGUUGAUUUGGUUUGGAUCUGUGUCCCCACCCAAAUCUCAUGUUGAACUGUAAUCUCCAGUGUUGGAGGUGGGGCCUCGUGGGAGGUGUUUGGAUCAUGAAGGCAGAUUCCUUAUGAAUGAUUUGGGCCAUCCCUUUGGUGAUGAGUGAGCUCUUGCUCUGAGUUGACAGGAGAUCUGGUCAUUCAAAAGUGUGUGACAUGCUCCCUGCCUCCACCUGCUCUUGCUCAUGCUUUUGCCAUGUGACUUGCCUGCCCCUUGUUCGCCUUCUGCCAUGAUUGUAAGCUUCCAGAAGCCUCCCUGGAAGCUGAGUAGUUGCCAGCACCAUGCUUCCUGUAAAGUCUGAAGAACUGUGAAUGAAUUAAACUUCUUUUCUUUAUAAAUUACUUUAUAAAUGGUAAAGGUAUUUCUUUACAGUAAUGCAAGAAUGCCCUAAUACACAGGUCCGAGAUCAAAGGAUAAAAAAUUA